AAUGGAAUUUCCGAAAACCAUUAAAAGAGUAGGAA
ncrna:unclassified sequences DTF805b RNA